GAUGAACGCUGACAGAAUGCUUAACACAUGCAAGUCAACUUGAACUUCGGUUUGGGUGGCGGACGGGUGAGUAACGCGUAAAGAACUUGCCUCACAGCUAGGGACAACAUUUGGAAACGAAUGCUAAUACCUGAUAUUAUGAUUAUAUGGCAUCGUAUAAUUAUGAAAGCUAUAUGCGCUGUGAGAGAGCUUUGCGUCCCAUUAGCUAGUUGGAGAGGUAACAGCUCACCAAGGCGAUGAUGGGUAGCCGGCCUGAGAGGGUGAUCGGCCACAAGGGGACUGAGACACGGCCCUUACUCCUACGGGAGGCAGCAGUGGGGAAUAUUGGACAAUGGACCGAGAGUCUGAUCCAGCAAUGCUGUGUGCACGAUGAAGUUUUUCGGAAUGUAAAGUGCUUUCAGUUGGGAAGAAAAAAAGGACGGUACCAACAGAAGAAGGGACGGCUAAAUACGU
rnacentral:rRNA from 1 species